CCCGAUUUCUCGAAACAAACUUAAGUUUUUACUCAAAUUUCAAACUGAGGUUGACAAUUUGAAACAGCUGAAUUUUUAACUCAACUGCAUUUUUUAAUUAAAAAAUCCCAAACACCUUAAGUAAUCCAUCUAUCAAAACUCAAAUUGUCCACUAUGUAUGAGUUUGAUAUCGAUUUCAGUUCAUUCUGGGAAAUGCAGUUCCCUGCGUUUUCUCAAAUUUGAGAAACAGGUGUGCGAG